GACGUAGGGCGCGAGCGUUGUCCGGAUUUAUUGGGCGUAAAGAGCUCGUAGGCGGCUUGUCGCGUCGACUGUGAAAUCCCGCGGCUCAACUGCGGGUCUGCAGCCGAUACGGGCAGGCUAGAGUUCGGUAGGGGAGACUGGAAUUCCUGGUGUAGCGGUGAAAUGCGCAGAUAUCAGGAGGAACACCGAUGGCGAAGGCGGCAUCCUGGACCGAGAUUGACGCUGAGGCGCGAAAGCUAGGGUAGCAAACGGG
rnacentral:rRNA from 1 species